GACGCACGCUGGCGGCGUGCUUAACACAUGCAAGUCGAACGAAGUGGCGAACGGGUGAGUAAUACGUGGGUAACCUGCCCUCCUUUUUGGGAUAAGCCUUGGAAACGGGGUCUAAUACCGAAUAAAGGGGGAUGGGCUCGCGGCCUAUCAGCUUGUUGGUGGGGUGAUGGCCUACCAAGGGGGUGACGGGUAGCCGGCCUGAGAGGGUGGCCGGAAAAAUUGGGACUGAGCUCCGGCCCAGACUCCUACGGCAGGAAGCAGUGGGGGAUAUUGCACAAUGGGCGAAAGCGUGAUGCAGCGACGCCGCGUGGGGGAUGAAGGCUUUCGGGUUGUAAACCUCUGUCGCUAUCGAACGGGUAGGUAGAGAAGAAGCGCCGGCUAACUACGUGCCAGCAGCCGCGGUAAUUC
rnacentral:rRNA from 1 species